rnacentral:rRNA from 1 species
AGAGUUUGAUCCUGGCUCAGGAUGAACGCUAGCUACAGGCUUAACACAUGCAAGUCGAGGGGAAACGACAUCGAAAGCUUGCUUUUGAUGGGCGUCGACCGGCGCACGGGUGAGUAACGCGUAUCCAACCUGCCCAUCACUUGGGGAUAACCUUGCGAAAGUAAGACUAAUACCCAAUGACGUCUCUAGAAGACAUCUGAAAGAGAUUAAAGAUUUAUCGGUGAUGGAUGGGGAUGCGUCUGAUUAGCUUGUUGGCGGGGUAACGGCCACAAGGCGACGAUCAGGUAGGGGUUCUGAGAGGAACGGUCCCCCANAUUGGAACUGAGACACGGUCCAAACUCCUACGAGAGGCA